rnacentral:rRNA from 1 species
AUUGAACGCUGGCGGCAUGCCUUACACAUGCAAGUCGAACGGCAGCGGACCUUCGGGUGCCGGCGAGUGGCGAACGGGUGAGUAAUGCAUCGGAACGUGCCAUUGAGUGGGGGAUAACGUAGCGAAAGUUGCGCUAAUACCGCAUAUUCUGUGCGCAGGAAAGCAGGGGGACCGCAAGGCCUUGCGCUCUUUGAGCGGCCGAUGUCAGAUUAGCUAGUUGGUGAGGUAACGGCUUACCAAGGCGACGAUCUGUAGCGGGUCUGAGAGGAUGAUCCGCCACACUGGAACUGAGACACGGUCCAGACUCCUACGGGAGGCAGCAGUGGGGAAUUUUGGACAAUGGGGGCAACCCUGAUCCAGCCAUGCCGCGUGAGUGAAGAAGGCCU